UUCCCGGGCCUUGUACACACCGCCCGUCACACCGCGAAAGUUGGCAAUACCCGAAGCCGGUGGCCUAACCCGCAAGGGAGGGAGCCGUCGAAGGUAGGGUCGAUGAUUGGGGUG
rnacentral:rRNA from 1 species